GAGGUUGUGGCUCAGUGGUAGAGCGCCCACCUGGCACAUGUGAGGCACUGGGUUCAAUCCUCAGCACCACA
rnacentral:tRNA from 1 species